ACAAGCCAAGAGAUACAAAGAGAAAAGUGUGACUGCUCUGACAGCAAAAACAAGCAAAUAUCUCCAGAGGGGAUUAGUCCCUCUGCUUCAAAGUAACCAAAACAAAGCGAGCUGAGCCAGCUUCACUGGGAACGACUCCUAUCCAUAAAACCAGAAUGAGCUCAG
rnacentral:lncRNA from 1 species